UUUCAAAACAACACAAGCCAAACCCAACAUUGAGAAACAGUGUACCAGACUGACACAACGUUGCACACGUUGUGUUUUGUCUUGUGAGUAAACAUGAUGAUAGCAGAUCCUUUUAGACCACGACCGGUGCCAAAGCUAACAUGGGCCGCGGCUGUGCCCUUUCCACGCUCUACUUGGAUCCACCCAUACGUACCGGAGGACGACUUUGACCGUGUUUCCUACACGAUAUGGAAGAACGCACAGAGACAGGGUACUGGUGUGCUGCGGACGAGGACGACGAAGGAGGUUGAAGUAGACAGAGAUCAACGCUCUCUCGCGACACCCUGCAGCGAACGCUGUACUGUAGGAGCAGAGGACCAGGAAGGACGGGUCAAGAGGGAAGCAGAAGAGAUGUUGUCCAUGGUUCGCCAAGAGUUGGAGGACCUGUAUUCAGACAAAAGUAAGGAGUCACAAGGAUGGGAAGAUGAGCUGAGCAGAAUAGAGAUCCCGGGGGCCCGCGUCGAGAUGAAAAGAAGCAGCGCUGGGAUUCUGCUCAAGGGGGUGAAACAGAUUUGUGUGGACGGAAGCAGCCAGCCUACCAGCGCAGAGUCUCUGAUCCCGUUACGUCCGUUCACCCGAGGGAGGUCCCUUCACCCCGCCGCCCUCCCCGAGGCCUCCACACCUGGGAGGAGCCGUCCCGCCCACCCUGCCGACACAGGUCGCGCCCCCCGACGGGCAGAUCAGCAGGACACUCCCGCCCGUACCUCUCGUGCCUGUCAGACUGAAGGCGUCUACUACAGCAGCGAUAGCGGCGACGAUUCCCACGGGCUCCCGGGCCCGCGUCGCUUGACCGCCGACAGAAGCAGCAACGAAGAAGCGGCGGCUCCCACCUUCGGCAGUGGGCAGUGCCCCUGCGGAGCUUCCGGGCCUCGGCAGAAGCCCGCUACGUGCUAUAGCUCCUUCUGCGACCUAGACCUCCCUUGUCGGCCCCUCCAGCCCGAGGCCUGCGAUGCGGCCCUACCCGAGCCUUCGCCUGUGGCUGCCCAAACAGAUGUCUCCCUCGCUCUACCAACGCCGACGCCCAAUAUCAAACCCUUCCAACCUUUUGAGGUGAGCUCGGGCCGUAAGUGGGAUCCCCAAGCUCUUGAACGAGAAUGCGACCGUCGACUGCUUGCUACCGACCAAAUGGCUUCGGUGUUUCCUGCUGGCGCCCCUGCCGUGGUUCCUCCCGUAUCCAUGUCAGCUCUGGCUUUGGCAAUGAUCCCCGACGACCAAGUGGUGCCCUUUCCCCUCAACCCCCUCGCCCAGUUCCAUGUUCCCGCGGCGUUCAGCACAGCCGCCCCCGCCCCCGCCUUCUUCCCCCCCGUCUGGUGCCGGGUGAAGGCUCCGAUCCAGGGCAGGGCACCAACACCGCGGGCGAGGCUGUCGUCCAAGGUUCCAGCUCCGCGUCAGCAGGGCGCCUACGACCUACUGGCUGACUUCCCCGUACUCCGGCCCCAUAACGUCAAGCGAGGCGUGGGCCCGGCGGCCCAGGUCUGGGGCGCAGACGGGAGGAGGAGGGGCCUGGCGGCGGUGCCGCAGGAUAACCUCAACCAGCAGCCCGGUGGGGACGGAGACAGAGAGCAGGGCAAGGAGCACAGCCAGCCCCUGGUCCCCAGGCCCGUGUGUGAAGGAGGUCAGGGGUUCACGCUGGCCCUGGCUCCCCCACCUCUAGCCAAGCCAGGCCUGAGCAACCUUCCUGUGGCCAAUUGCGGAGGGGCAGUCCACACACAGCCGAUUACAGAGACCGACGCAAGUGUAGGCGUAGACAUGACCAGCACCCGCGUCGACCUCGCCAGCCAUGCAGCUGCCACGCCGGAGAAAGCCGGGGGCAGCGAUACCCAGCGCACGACGGACGCCGGCGGCAAUGUCAAGGGCGAGUCUCCGGCUGCAAAGAAGAAUGCUGCUUGCCAGGCCACACCUCCCUCUAUGGUAGCCAAUCCGUCGAGAGCUCCAUGCCCCCAUGCCGUUCUCCAGCCAAUGAGAUUGGACUUUACCCCCCCAACCCAGAAAAUGUGGCCUGUCAGAAACGGGUAAAGAAUACAGCCAGUGGAACAUCUAUUUCCAGAGUGUCAGGCGGCCAGCUUGGAAUGAUGCCUGAUGGUAUGUAACAUAAUGUCCUCAUUUGGGGGUGGAACUGUGUCUGGGUCCACUGGGGCCCUCUGUCUGGCCAGAGGAGAGACCAUCAUGGAGCGAGACUGUGUCAUCAUCCUAUCUCACUUGUCAUCCUGACAAGCACCAUUUCCUUUCCCCCCCCCCGUUUGCUUGUUUUUGCUCCAUACAGAUCCAAGACCACGGACAACUACUGUCUGGUGGCACACCAUACCAUACAAUAACAAAUUAAAGAUUUAUUGAAAUGUCGCAUCCAUUUUCUGGGAGUCAACGGUAGCUACAUUAGCCCUGAUUAGCCGUAUCUUUUUUAACGAUCACUCUACUGAAUGCCCGAUUCCCUAUAUGCAUAAUUAGCACAUUCUUGAAUAUAUUGCGGUGCAUUUUCAUAAACCGAUCCACUAACUACUCAACUACCAAUAAAAAUCCAGAUAAAAGCCACAUAGUGAUUAAUUGUGUGGUUUAUAGAUCUAUCUUUUGCAUGGAAUUUUCCCUGAAUCAGUUUGCAUGAUAAUGCUAUAGGAGGAUGCCAUCAAAGCCAGAUAUAUAUAGAAUGACUCAAUUAGCCAAAUAUAAUGUAGUAGUCAGUCAAAGUCGAUCAUUUAGAGUGAACUCCAGACUUGAACAACUUAAAAGCUACCUUCUGCUGAGGCCGCUGUGUUGUAUGUAUUCUGGAGGAACGCUCCUGAAUGACCUCAGAGAGCUAAACAGUUCAUAUGCUAGCAGCAUGUCAGGAGCAUAUGCAAGCCCUGGGCCUUCUAGUGAUUUAUAGACUGCUAGCCGUUUCCUAAAUCAAUGGAUGACCCAAUGGAAGCCGGUGGUUGAUAGAUGAAGCAGUGGGAUGUGUAAAGAGGUUCUUUGUAAGAAGCUCCACUCAGAAGGAACAGUUGUUUAAGAGUGCGUCUGGUUUGAUAUUACAGUCUUCAGAUAAACCUCAACGGUAAGGCUAUAGUGCAUCGGCUGCCAAAGCAAGGAUGAAUGGUUUCUGGUACAUUAAUCAAAAUCCAAUAAUUCAAGUCAUUCACUUCAAGCUAAAAUAUGUGAAUUAAAUUUCAUGUGAAUCUUUAGGUUGAUGAUGGAUAUUGAUGAUCGGCAUUGCAGUGUGCCUUGUGAAA
ensembl:lncRNA